UUGGUGCUGGAGUUAACAGGCUUUCGUGA
rnacentral:piRNA from 1 species